CAAGAUCUUUAUGUCUUUCAAAUAACUUGCAAAGGCUGGUCAUGUGGUAUAUGAAUGCGCUCUGAACUGUUGAAACUUCUCUUCAAGAUCUUGAUGUCUUCCAAACAACUUGCAAAUGCUGGCCAUUUUUCUUGUUCUGAAACCAUCUUCACCAGUUGAGAACAAUUCGUUGCAAAUGUAACAGUAAACUGUCUUAGAUUCCU
rnacentral:lncRNA from 1 species